rnacentral:rRNA from 1 species
UACGUAGGGGGCUAGCGUUGUCCGGAAUCAUUGGGCGUAAAGCGCGCGUAGGCGGCCCGGUAAGUCCGCUGUGAAAGUCCAGGGCUCAACCCUGGAAAGCCGGUGGAUACUGCCGGGCUAGAGUCCGGGAGAGGCGAGUGGAAUUCCUGGUGUAGCGGUGGAAUGCGCAGAUAUCAAGUGGAACACCAGUGGCGAAGGCGAAUCCCUGGAAAAUACCUGACACUGAGGCACGAAAGCUAGGGGAGCAAACAGG